rnacentral:rRNA from 1 species
GGAGGUAGUGACAAUAAAUCACAAUGCGGAACUAUUUAGUUUUGCAAUUGGAUUGAGAACAAUGUACAAAUGUUAUCGAUAAACAAUUGGAGGGCAAGUCUGGUGCCAGCAGCCGCGGUAAUUCCAGCUCCAAUAGCGUAUAUUAACGUUGUUGCAGUUAAAAAGCUCGUAGUUGAAAUGUGGGAUGAAGUAUAUGAUGAAUUUUAUAUUCUAUUAUAUAUUGAUUCCCCUCUCCAAUUUAUUAUUAUGGGUAUUAAUUUAUUUGUAAUAAGAAUUGGUCAUUUACUGUGAGAAAAUUAGAGUGUUCAAAGCAGGCAUUUGCUUGAAUAGAUUAGCAUGGAAUAAUACUAAAAGGCUUUUAUGGUCGAUUUAAUUGGUUUGUUCAUAAAAGCAAGAUUAAAAGGAACAGUUGGGGGUAUUCAUAUUCAAUAGUUAGAGGUGAAAUUCUCGGAUUUAUGGAAGAUGAACAAGUGCGAAAGCA